rnacentral:misc_RNA from 1 species
UCCGGUUUGUCACCGGCAGUCUCCCAUGAGUCCCCAACUAAAUGCUGGCAACAUGGGACGGGGGUUGCGCUCGUUGCGGGACUUAACCCAACAUCUCACGACACGAGCUGACGACAGCCAUGCACCACCUGUGAAAGUGUCCCGAAGGAAGACCGGCUUUCACCGGCUUCACCCUGCAUGUCAAGUCCAGGUAAGGUUCUUCGCGUUGCAUCGAAUUAAUCCACAUGCUCCGCCGCUUGUGCGGGCCCCCGUCAAUUCCUUUGAGUUUCAGCCUUGCGGCCGUACUCCCCAGGCGGGGCGCUUAAUGCGUUAGCUACGGCACGGAUUCCGUGGAAGGAACCCACACCUAGCGCCCACCGUUUACGGCGUGGACUAC